UACGAAGGGGGCUAGCGUUGUUCGGAAUUACUGGGCGUAAAGCGCACGUAGGCGGAUAUUUAAGUCAGGGGUGAAAUCCCAGAGCUCAACUCUGGAACUGCCUUUGAUACUGGGUAUCUUGAGUAUGGAAGAGGUAAGUGGAAUUGCGAGUGUAGAGGUGAAAUUCGUAGAUAUUCGCAGGAACACCAGUGGCGGAAGGCGGCUUACUGGUCCAUUACUGACGCUGAGGUGCGAAAGCGUGGGGAGCAAACAGG
rnacentral:rRNA from 1 species